rnacentral:lncRNA from 1 species
GAGGAAAAAUAGCCUAUGAGAAACUAUGUAAUUUCAGGUUCCAGUUGUUUCUUCAUAUGAGUAUCAUCGAAUCUCAUUUGCAACAAGGUGGAGGAUUUCUGCGCACAACUAAAGAGUCAUAUGUGCUCACCGACUCUGGACUCGGAAGGAGUUUGGAAAUCACGUCCUGCAGCGGCACACACAAAGAGGAGGCAGCUCUCCGCAUCAGCCCCCUCCGUUCCCCCCUCCAUGGUCUCUCUUCAAAACUACCUCACAAGAGCUAUCUGCAUAAUUGCUUAAAGAUUUUACCGCAAAAUUAA